ACAUACAGGUAGACCCAAAUAUCCUAAAAGCAUGAGAUCCUGUCUGAUUUUGGAAGCUAAGUAGUGUUGGCCCUGGUUAGUACUUAGAUGGGAGACUGCUAAUGAACAUCAGAUGCUUUAGGCC
rnacentral:rRNA from 11 species